rnacentral:rRNA from 1 species
UACGAAGGGGGCUAGCGUUGCUCGGAAUUACUGGGCGUAAAGCGCACGUAGGCGGACUUUUAAGUCGGGGGUGAAAUCCUGGAGCUCAACUCCAGAACUGCCUUCGAAGCUGAAAGCCUUGAGUUCGGGAGAGGUGAGUGGAACUGCGAGUGUAGAGGUGAAAUUCGUAGAUAUUCGCAAGAACACCAGUGGCGAAGGCGGCUCACUGCCCCGAUACUACCGCUGAGGUGCGAAAGCGUCGGGAGCAAACAGG